AGGACGAACGCUGGCGGCGUGCCUAACACAUGCAAGUCGAACGAGGUCCAACCGGUGGCAACACUGGUGAAGACCUAGUGGCGAACGGGUGAGUAUCACGUGAGCAACCUGCCCCGAAGACUGGGAUAACACCGGGAAACCGGUGCUAAUACCGGAUACCCCCACCGGAUCGCAUGGUCUGGUGAGGAAAUGAAUUUUUGCUUUGGGAGGGACUCGCGGCCUAUCAGCUUGUUGGUGGUGUAACGGACCACCAAGGCUUCGACGGGUAGCUGGUCUGAGAGGACGAUCAGCCACACUGGGACUGAGACACGGCCCAGACUCCUACGGGAGGCAGCAGUGGGGAAUCUUGCGCAAUGGGCGAAAGCCUGACGCAGCAACGCCGCGUGAGGGACGAAGGCCUUCUGGGUUGUAAACCUCUUUCAGCAGGGACGAUGAUGACGGUACCUGCAGAGAACGCCCGGCCAACUACGCGCCAGCGAGCCGCGGU
rnacentral:rRNA from 1 species